CAACUGCGUUACUUCCGUGCGACAGAGACACAUCAUCCGUUCAACAAUGGAGAUUUGUGUGGAGGCACAUUCUUGCUAUUUUUGCUAAUACAUCUGCAAAUCCACCUGAGUGAAGUGAAGGCUGCUUGACUUUUUACAUUUGCACACAUAACAUGGGGCUUUCUUUUGACAGCAAAGCCAUCAGUCGGCUCUAAAGAGACUAAAAGCAGUAAAUCGCGGUCACAGUUCUAUGACAGACAAGAGGAGUGUGUCCCCCUCUAGUGAUGAUGUAACGACGCUGCACCUCAAAACUUGAAAUCGGAUCUACAGGGGUGGGAAAAAGGCAUUUAUUCAUUCACUGUCAAUUAAGACCAGCAAGGCUUGUGCUCCAAUACGAUGCAAGCCAAUCUGGGUUAAGAGAAAUUACUGCAACACAAUAGUUGAGUUAUACUUUCAAGGUACAAAAUAUUCACAGACUUGUUCAUGGAAAAUACUUCACAUCCUUAUCACAUGCUGGUUUGUUGUCUUACCUUAGGUUUUAUCUGAGAAUCCCUAUCACAGUCCAAGACAAUCUAAGUCUUUAUGAAGGUUAUGUUUCUGAGACACCGUGAGAAAAAUGCUGGUUCAACAGUGUGGUCACUUAAGGCUGCAGGUGGUGUGUUAUACUGCAGUGAUUCUAAUAUCCCACUGUCUUAGUGUAGAAGAGCUCCUGUUUAUAAUGAAAGUGAUUAUUUUGUGCAACUUGAAAGUAGUAAAAUACAUGUCUCUGCUUACCAUUAUCAUCCCAGUCAGUGUUCCAGGAGUUGACACAGAGCCAGUAGGAAACACCAUCCUCCUCUCCCCAGCCCAGGAUCUUGAUGACAUGUCUACCCACAGCAGAGCCUGAAACGUGUUGAUACACACCUGGAGACAGGAAGAGGACACAGGAAACACAAGUGGGAACCACGAGGUCCCAAGCAACACUCUACACAAUCACUGAGCAGAAUAUGCAGUUAGGGUUCACCCUGUACUCAAUAUUCAGUGUAAUGCGUGUUUGCAUUACAUCUCUUACUGGUGCAUGUGUUCUUGCCAGACUUGCACAAUACAAAGUCUUCAUAGACUUUAAAUGCUCCCUCUACUGGGUUGUUCUUGUAUAUCUCAGUCUGAAUCUGGAUCACAUUUGAUAAUGUGAUAAUGCCCGAGGGCCAACCAUCCUGUCUCACAUUCUUUGAACCAUUAAACCUGUCAAAGAUCAUAGAGGUAUGAGAUCCCCGAGUCAGCCAUAGGUGUGGGGUUCUGGCAGAAUAACAGCAAAAUAAGGGAACACAGUAUGAUAUUAUAACCUGUGAUUUAUGAUUGAUUCAUGCUAUAACAUAAUAAAUGUGUUUAAACUAACCAAAUGCCUAUUUUUUAUAUAUACAAUCUUUAUUUGAAACAGCGUAGAAAUCAGAAGAGUCCCUCAAUGUGAAAGGUGGUGAGUUGAUUAUUUUUUGAAC
ensembl:lncRNA